AUAAUAAGCCAGUGCUGAUGGAUCACACAUCACCUCCUAGAAGUCACCCAGCAGCCAUGAAGACUUUCCUGCUCCUCUUUCUAUCACUGGCCUGCUUGUCAGGUGUCCAGUCUCAAGCACAACUUGUCCAGUCAUCAGACCCAGUGGUGAUAAAGCCUGGGAAUUCCCAUAAACUCUCAUGUAAAGCGUCUGGAUUCACCUU